AUGUACAACGUCGUACAUUCCGGUGCCUGCGCUCCGGCCGCCCACGACUGAAGCAGGCUCGCUACGCGUGUAGAUUUCAUUC
rnacentral:sRNA from 3 species